rnacentral:rRNA from 1 species
GGCUCUAUGAGGAUAUUAAUUUAUAUGGAGUCUGGCCUGCCCAGCGAUUGAAAUUUAGCGGCCGCGGUACUCUGACCGUGCGAAGGUAGCAUAGUCACUUGCCUUAUAAUUGAAGGCUAGUAUGAAUGGUUUGACGAGAACAAUACUGUCUCCUUUAAAAUUUAUAAAAUUUGGUUUUUAGGUGAAGAAACUUAAAUAAUAUUGAAAGACAAGAAGACCCUGUCGAGCUUUAAAAAAUAAUUUUGAUAGAGUUAGUGUUAUAGCCUAAUUUCAAUUUGGAAUUUUAGUUGGGGCGACUAAGGAACACAUAGAACUUCCUUUUAUUUAUUAAAGCCCGUGAGCUUUGAUCCAAAAGUUUUGAUUAAAAGAAUUAGUUACCGCAGGGAUAACAGCAUUAUCUUCUUUGAGAGUUCUUAUCGAAAGGGGGGUUUGUGACCUCGAUGUUGGACUAAGAUAUCCUAAUAGAUGUAGAAGUCUUUGAGGGUUGGUCUGUUCGA